rnacentral:rRNA from 1 species
GGGCCCGCACAAGCGGUGGAGCAUGUGGUUUAAUUCGAGGCAACGCGAAGAACCUUACCAGCCCUUGACAUGGGUAGUAUGGAUUUUGGAGACAAUUUCCUUCAGUUCGGCUGGCUACCACACAGGUGCUGCAUGGCUGUCGUCAGCUCGUGUCGUGAGAUGUUGGGUUAAGUCCCGCAACGAGCGCAACCCUCAUCUUCAGUUGCUAACGCCUAGGGCGAGCACUUUGGAGAAACUGCCUGGGAUGACUAGGAGGAAGGCGAGGAUGACGUCAAGUCCUCAUGGCCCUUAUGGGCUGGGCUACACACGUGCUACAAUGGCGGUGACAACGGGAAGCAAUUGGGCAACCUUGAGCAAAUCCCCAAAAACCGUCUCAGUUCGGAUUGUACUCUGCAACUCGAGUGCAUGAAGUUGGAAUCGCUAGUAAUCGU